CCCGACAUUUGCAAUAAUGUUGCUGUCAUAGCUCCUGGCAGACAGGAGCAAAGAUUAAAGGAGAUGUGGGGGGCAGCUUUUUUACAAAGAAAGUGCCUGAAAUACGCAGAAACACACCACAGGUAUUGGUGGAAGCAGAUACGAUAGUGACAUUUAGGAGACUUUUGGAUAGGCAUAUGGAUACGCAGGGAAUGGGGAGUAUGGAUGACAUGCACGUAGAGGAGGUUAGUUUAACUUGGCAUCAUGUUCGGCCGGGACAUUGUGGGUUGAAGGAUC